AAACUGCUUGGGAAAUUUGCAAACCCUAAGUAAGACUUCAUAGUGUGACAAGAACUCCUGUGACAUUUAGAACUACCUGCAGUAUUGAUGCCUGGCCCAGAUAAGAGGAAGCACCUUCACCAAACUCCAGCACAACUGGUUAGCAGUGCAUAGAGUCUAUCACAGGGUUCUCAAGGAUGUGGUGAAAACCUGCAUGUGUUUCCUGUCCGUACUCCAACGAUAUAUACAUGUAUCCUGUCACAUAAUGAAGGAUGCACCUUGCCACCAUAAUGUCUACAGUUAAAGAAGCCUGAAGUGAAAGUCAGUUAAAGGUCAUUCCCACCACAACUCUGCAAGGCAAGACUGAAUCCUCCUUGGUUUUCUACUUGGCUGCAGUGGGAAAAAAUGUUCUAAGUUGUUAAUACUGCAGAUGAGUGGAGAAAACGUGACGGACAGCAACUAAGCAAUUGAAACAAAGCUGAGCAGACCAUGCCUCGUCAUGCGUAAAACCAUUAAUAUAAUUACAGCACCAGAGAUCAAAGGCAAGGUUUGGAGAAAUUUAUUCAACUGCUUUUAUAGAAAGGCUGGACUCAAAUUAUGUAUUUGAAGCUGCCCUUCAACUCCUGAUCCUCCAGCUUCUACUUUCCAAGCAUUGGAAUUACAGCCACUUCUCCUUCUAGCCUUUUCUUUCUAGCUUUCUAGUGAUUGUAUAUCUCCACAAUGAUGGACAUGGGAAUCAGAAUCCUCCUGAGAAGGAGAGGGGAGGAAGAUGCACCAGGAAGACAAUGUCUUUUUUGUGUUGUGAUGGAAUCACAUUCAGCAUACUCUUCAGUGUUGUGAUGGAAUCACAUUCAGACCCAUGGAAAAUAGAGCAGUUCCCUGCUUGCUCUUGAGCUGGAAAUCUGUUCUCUAUUAUAAGGAGAGGGGUCCUGUAUAUGCCCAGUGCGAUGGAUAUAUUGGAUGUCGACUUGACUUCAUCUGGAAUUGACUAAAACCCCAAAAUGGCUGUGCACACCUGUGAGGAAUGUUUUCUGAAUUAAAUAAUUUGAAAUGGGAAGAUCUACACUUCUAAUCUGAAUCUUUGAGGUGGGAAGCUCCUGUAAAGGAUACACAAGAAGGAAAUGUCACUCUUUAUCUGCUUGAUUUUGUCCUAGACAGCAAGUCUAUUCCUUUGCUGGCAUUAGAGUUUACUUCUUCAAUAUUCUGGCAUAUACUGAGGCCCAGCUGAGACAUGUAGCCUCAUGGACAGAUCAACUAUUGGAUUCUUGAACCUUCUGUUCAUAGGCAGCCAUUGUUGGAUUAGCUGGACUACAGCCUGUAAGUCAUUCUAAUAAACCCCCUUUCUGCAUAUAUAUUCAUUCUAUAAAUCUGUUACUCUAGAGAACCCUGACUAAUAAACCCAAUGUAGUAGUUUGAAUAAGAACAGCUCCCAUGUGCUCACAUAUUUGACUGCUUGAUCAUUAGGGAUUGGCACUGCUUGAGAGGGAUUUAAGAUCUGGCUUUUUUUGGACUAGGUGUGGUCUUGUUGGAGGAAGUGUGUCACUGGGGUUAGGCUUUGGGGGUUUCAAAUGCCAGGCCCAGUGUCUCUGUUUCUUCCUGCUGCCUGUGAAUCUGGGUAUAGAACUGUCAGCUAUUUCUUCAGCAUGAUGUCUGCCUACAUGCCACCAUGCUUCCUGCAAUGAUAACAAUGGACUAAACCUGUGAAAUUGUAAGCAAAC
ensembl:lncRNA